AUUGAACGCUGGCGGCAGGCCUAACACAUGCAAGUCGAACGAGUGGCUGACGGUUGAGUACUGUCUGGUAAACUUCCCGAUGGAGGGGCAUAACUUCUGGAAACGGUAGCUAAUACCGCAUACCAUCGGCUUUUCCCCUAUGGGUUUAGCUUGUAGGUGGGGUAACGGCUCACCUAGGCGACGAUCCCUUGCUGGUCUGAGAGGAUGACCAGCCACACUGGAACGGAGACACGGUCCAGACUCCUACGUGAGGCAGCAGUGGGGAAUAUUGCACAAUGGGCGCAAGCCUGAUGCAGCCAUGCCGCGUGUAUGAAGAAGGCCUUCGGGUUGUAAAGUACUUUCAGCGAGGAGGCGUGACUCGAAGAAGAAGCACGGGCUAACUCCGUGCCAGCCGCCGCGGUAAUAA
rnacentral:rRNA from 1 species